GCCGAGGUGGCGAAAUGGCAGACGCGCAGUCUUGAGGGGGCUGUGCCGCAAGGCAUGGAGGUUCGAGUCCUCUCCUCGGCA
rnacentral:tRNA from 1 species